rnacentral:ncRNA from 1 species
CUUCGACAAUAGCAAACCCAUUGAAAGAUGGGGACGCAAAGCUACGGGCCUAAAGGAAGAUUUCUAUGGCAGCCGGGUUGCCGAA